rnacentral:sRNA from 1 species
AACUAAACCCGGUAGCAGCGGGCACGAUCCCGAUUUUUUCAUCGGGAGAAGUAAAGCGGAUAACGGGACUUUCG